rnacentral:rRNA from 1 species
UGGGGAAUCUUGGACAAUGGGGGGCAACCCUGAUCCAGCCAUGCCGCGUGAGUGAUGAAGGCCUUAGGGUCGUAAAGCUCUUUCGCCUGUGAAGAUAAUGACGGUAGCAGGUAAAGAAACCCCGGCUAACUCCGUGCCAGCAGCCGCGGUAAUACGGAGGGGGUUAGCGUUGUUCGGAAUUACUGGGCGUAAAGCGCACGUAGGCGGACCAGAAAGUUGGGGGUGAAAUCCCGGGGGCUCAACCCCGGAACUGCCUCCAAAACUAUUGGUCUAGAGUUCGAGAGAGGUGAGUGGAAUUCCAAGUGUAGAGGUGAAAUUCGUAGAUAUUUGGAGGAACACCAGUGGCGAAGGCGGCUCACUGGCUCGAUACUGACGCUGAGGUGCGAAAGUGUGGGGAGCAAACAGGAUUAGAUACCCUGGUAGUCCACACCGUAAAACGAUGAAUGCCAGUCGUCGGGUAGCAUGCUAUUCGGUGACACACCUAACGGAUUAAGCAUUCCGCCUGGGGAGUACGGUCGCAAGAUUAAAAC